rnacentral:lncRNA from 1 species
UAAGGCAAGGGAUGUUUUGGAAGAGAUGAGAGAGUAUGGAUGCUAUCCUGAUGUCGCAGCUUACAAUGCUGCUAUUAGAAAUUUCUGUAUUGCAAAGAGGAUUGGGGAUGCCUACGGUUUGAUGAAUGAGAUGGUAAAGAAGGGGUUGAGCCCAAAUGCAACUACUUAUAAUAUUUUGUUGAGGACAUUUUAUUGGUGGAAUGAUUUGAUAAGUUCAUGGAACUUGUACCUGAGAAUGAGGGAAACAGGGUGUCUACCAAACACUCAAUCUUGUAUGUUUUUGAUCAGGUUGUUGAGAAGGCACGAGAAGGUUGAAAUGGCACUUGAGCUAUGGAAUGAUAUGGUGGAGAUGGGGUUUGGCUCUUAUAUAUUGGUCUCUGACGUUUUGUUUGAUUUGCUUUGUGACAUGGGGAAGUUGGAUGAGGCUGAGAGGUCUUUCUUGCAGAUGGUGGAGAAAGGGCAAAAACCAAGUAAUGUUUCAUUUAGGAGGAUUAAGGUGCUUAUGGAAUUGGCUAAUAGGCAGGAUGCUCUUCGUAAUUUGUCAGAGAAGAUGGCUCUUUUUGGCGGAUCUAUUAAACUUGCUGGGAGUGAAGAGAGUGACUUGGAAACAUCAGGCUCCAUGACUUGCUGAAUACAAUUUUCCAACUAUUCCAUCCAUGAAGUAUACUGCCAGGAUGCUGAGAUCAACAUUUUGUUGCCAUGUCAGCAGAAAUUUUUAUCAAUUGCGCCUCCAGAGGUGCAUCUAUAUGACAUGCCAGUUUCUCGCAAUUGCGUGUCCAGAAGUGCAUUUGUAUGACAUGCCAGUUUCUUGUUAAUUAGAUUAGGCAGAGUGUCAACAUGUUCUAGCUAUGUUGCAAUCAGUUUGAGUGGUGGCUGAGUAGAGCUGCUGAUCUGAUCCUUUUUUUUCUUUUUCCUUUUAUGGGUAGCAAUCAUCAUUCUUGCUGAUGUUUUUGGCUGCUCAAACUUUGAAAUUGCUUUCAUUUAGAUGUAUACCACAAGUAAAAUUUUGGUUGUAGUUGUUUCCCUCAGAGCUUAAAUCUUUUGAUGACAAUUUGUCACUCAUAGAGUUAUUAAUUGAAUCCGCUUCUAGGUUUUGUUCCACCCUUGUGGGAUUGAUAAAAGAUUGCACAAGAAUCAGAAUGACUUGCUGCUUCUGGAAGUUUGUUCUGUUGGUUUUAAAGAUGUUCGAUCAGAGAGUUUUCAACUUUCGUUUUUAUGUUCCUUAAUGGGUAACUUUGCAACUAGGUUUGUCGUGGAGCUCGAGAUGUUCAUCGUGUUGCCAUAUGUGGCUUUUGUUCAUCAGACGCAGGGCACUCUGUUGGUGCUUUCCUUUAGCUUCAUUCAACUGACGCACAAAGCACGUUAGUCUUCUCAUUUUGUGUCGCAAGUACACCAGCAGUUACUUUAGAUCAUAAAAUCAAACUAAAUGUGAAUGGAGAAAUGCUAUUUCAAGGUUUGUCUUUUAGAGUCUCAUAUUUCUGUGCACAAAGGUGAGUUACAUGAUUAAGAAGUUAAUUGAAUGGCCUUACAUGUUGGUUUCUUAACAAUCAAAUUACUUGUCUAUGACUUCUCUCUGACGCUGAGGACAAAAUUAUUUGAAUGCAGAAAAUCCAUGGGGAAGCUGUGAGUUAUUGAGAAAACAAUGCUGAAACUACAAGAAGGUUGACCUGGUAGUGGUAAAUUUAAUUAGGUAAGCCAUCCUUUAUUCUUCGUUCCAAUUAAAAGAUCCAACAGUAACAUCAAGUUACAUGUACUUGUGCAAAUCCACAUAAUCCUUAGUUUCCUCUUUUUUUGUUGAAUCACAAAAUCCUAUGUUCUCAAUUCAUUGCUAGUUUGUUGUCAAAUAAUUUAGCUUAUGUUUUGAAGUUUAAUAAAAAUUAGUUCUAGUAAAACUAAUGUUUAGCUUGUGGUUGGACCUUCUUGUAUACCCUUAAUGAACUUUGACACAAAGAUGGAUCAUUUUCUGAAUAAGUUUGGGAUGUACCAAUGUAUAGCUUCUGUACCGUCUCGUAAAGGUGAAUUUCAAUAUUAGUUCCUACCUUUAGGAGCUUCUGAAAAAAUGUAAUUAUUAUUUUCACCAUUAGUUUGGGUUUCCUAAAUCAUAUAAUUAUGGAGACUAUCUUUUAGAAACCUGAAUCUAGUAAUCAAUCGUUGAGCUUCUACAAAGUGUUACAAAACCACACUAAGAUUCACACAUGAAAAGAACAAAGGACAUAAAAUGAGAAAUUUUGAAGCGGAUUUAGAUUUCUAUGAGUUUAGUAAUUGAUAGUGAACAAAAAGAAAACUGAAUUGUUUUAUUUUGUUCUAGGCUCUGUACAAUAUUUAUACAAAUGGAAUUUGAUUUUUGUCAAUUCAAUGAAAUCUGUAAUCUCCUAAAAAUUAGGAGCUAAUUUAUUCUAUCCUAAAAUACAUUAGGAGUAAAUUAUUCUAUCCUAAAAUAGAUCAGAAAUCAUGGGAUAUACAUAGAAUUUAUAGCUGUACAAAAAAGAUAUUCUAGAUUUUCAACACUCCCCCUCAAGAUGGUGAAUAGAUAUUUUCCAUUCCCAUCUUGCAUGUAGUGUCUUCAAAGUUGGAAGUUGGCAUUCCCUUAGUUAACACAUUUGCCAAUUGAUUAUUUGAUGUUACAUAAGGAGUGCAAAUCAUGCCGCUGUCCAGCUUUUCUUUAAUAACAUGUCUAUCUACUUUGAUGUGCUUUGUGCGAUCAUGUUGCACUGGAUUGUGUGCAAUGUUGAUGGCAGACUUGUUGUCGCAAUAGAGUUUCAUAGGUCCUUCCCACUUGAUUUUAAGGUCAUCAAGUAUUAUUUUGAGUCAUAGCAAUUCACAAACUCCAUGAGCCAUAGCUCUAAACUCUGUUUCAGCAUUUGAUCUUGCAACAACCGAUUGCUUCUUACUCCUCCAUGUCACUAGGUUCCCAUCAAGAAAUGUACAAUAUCCUAAAGUUGAUCUACGAUCUACAACAGAACCUGCAUAAUCAACAUCAGUAUAUGCCUCUAUGAGCAAUCCUUCAUUUUUCUUGAACAAAAUUCCUCUACUCGGUGUCCCUUUGAGGUAGGAUAGAAUUCUGUUGACAGCCUGCAAGUGUUUCUCUCUUGGAUCAUGCAUAAAUUGGCUUACUACACUUACGGCAAAUGCUAUGUUCGGCCUUGUAUGGGACAAGUAUAUCUCAGACAGUCACUGAGAUCAGCAGCAGCUUCAAUCCCUUUCUCAAAUGACUUAAUUGAUAAGGUUCUGAAAAGGGUUAGAUUUUCUCAUUCUAAUCCAUUACAGGCUUUGGAAUUCUUUAAGUUUACAUCUAGGAAAAAGGGUUUUUGCAUUCUGCAUUUUCUUUGGAUACAAUGCUGUAUGUGUUGGGUAAAAAAAUUAAUAUUUGGGAGGUUUUGGUGGAACGAAGAAAAAGGAUCAAUCUUCGAUCACUUCAAGAACUGUUCAAGUUGUCUUAGCUAGGAUUGCUAAGGUUUGUUCAGUUAAGCAGACUGUGAUUUCGUUUAAGCGGUUUCGAAGGCUUGUUUUGGAGUUUGAUACUAGUUGUUACAAUGCACUGUUUAGGACAUUGUGUCAAGAGAAGAGUAUGAGUGAUGCCAGGAAUGUGUAUCAUAACUUGAAGCAUGAGUUUAGGCCGAUUUGCAGACUUUAAUAUAUUGUUGUCUGGUUGGAAGUCAACUGAUGAGGCCGAGGCUUUUUUGAGGAGAUGAGGGAAAUGGGGUUGAACCUGAUAUGUUUCUUAUAAGAUGUGUAUUGUAAGACGAGAGAAAUGGAUAAGGCGUAUAGGGUGGUGGAGGAGAUUGAGGGAGAGGGAUAUUAGUCCAGAUGUGAUUACAUAUACGAGUUUGAUUGGUGGUUUGGGGCUUGUGGGGCAACCUGAUAAGGCAACGGAUGUUUUGGAAGAGAUGAGAGAGUAUGGAUGCUAUCCUGAUGUGGCAGCUUACAAUGCUGCUAUUAGAAAUUUCUGUAUUGCAAAGAGGAUUGGGGAUGCCUAUGGUUUGAUGAAUGAGAUGGUAAAGAAGGGGUUGAGCCCAAAUGCAACUACUUAUAAUAUUUUGUUGAGGACAUUUUAUUGGUGGAAUGAUUUGAUAAGUUCAUGGAACUUGUACCUGAGAAUGAGGGAAACAGGGUGUCUACCAAACACUCAAUCUUGUAUGUUUUUGAUCAGGUUGUUGAGAAGGCACGAGAAGGUUGAAAUGGCACUUGAGCUAUGGAAUGAUAUGGUGGAGAUGGGGUUUGGCUCUUAUAUAUUGGUCUCUGACGUUUUGUUUGAUUUGCUUUGUGACAUGGGGAAGUUGGAUGAGGCUGAGAGGUCUUUCUUGCAGAUGGUGGAGAAAGGGCAAAAACC